rnacentral:rRNA from 1 species
AGCGAACGCUGGCGGCAGGCCUAACACAUGCAAGUCGAACGAACUCUUCGGAGUUAGUGGCGGACGGGUGAGUAACACGUGGGAACGUGCCUUUAGGUUCGGAAUAACUCAGGGAAACUUGUGCUAAUACCGAAUGUGCCCUUCGGGGGAAAGAUUUAUCGCCUUUAGAGCGGCCCGCGUCUGAUUAGCUAGUUGGUGAGGUAAAGGCUCACCAAGGCGACGAUCAGUAGCUGGUCUGAGAGGAUGAUCAGCCACGUUGGGACUGAGACACGGCCCAAACUCCUACGGGAGGCAGCAGUGGGGAAUCUUGCGCAAUGGGCGAAAGCCUGACGCAGCCAUGCCGCGUGAAUGAUGAAGGUCUUAGGAUUGUAAAAUUCUUUCACCGGGGACGAUAAUGACGGUACCCGGAGAAGAAGCCCCGGCUAACUUCGUG